AGCGGUAAGGCCCUUCGGGGUACACGAGCGGCGAACGGGUGAGUAACACGUGAGCAACCUGCCCCUGACUCUGGGAUAAGCGGUGGAAACGCCGUCUAAUACCGGAUACGACCCGCCACCUCAUGGUGGAGGGUGGAAAGUUUUUCGGUCAGGGAUGGGCUCGCGGCCUAUCAGCUUGUUGGUGGGGUAACGGCCUACCAAGGCGAUUACGGGUAGCCGGCCUGAGAGGGCGACCGGCCACACUGGGACUGAGACACGGCCCAGACUCCUGCGGGAGGCAGCAGUGGGGAAUAUUGCGCAAUGGGCGAAAGCCUGACGCAGCGACGCCGCGUGGGGGAUGACGGCCUUCGGGUUGUAAACCUCUUUUACCACCAACGCAGGCUUCCAGUUCUCUGGAGGUUGACGGUAGGUGGGGAAUAAGGACCGGCUAACUACGUGCCAGCAGCCGCGGUAAUACGUAGGGUCCGAGCGUUGUCCGGAAUUAUUGGGCGUAAAGAGCUCGUAGGCGGCGUGUCGCGUCUGCUGUGAAAGACCGGGGCUUAACUCCGGUUCUGCAGUGGAUACGGGCAUGCUAGAGGUAGGUAGGGGAGACUGGAAUUCCUGGUGUAGCGGUGAAAUGCGCAGAUAUCAGGAGGAACACCGGUGGCGAAGGCGGGUCUCUGGGCCUUACCUGACGCUGAGGAGCGAAAGCAUGGGGAGCGAACAGGAUUAGAUACCCUGGUAGUCCAUGCCGUAAACGUUGGGCGCUAGGUGUGGGGACUUUCCACGGUUUCCGCGCCGUAGCUAACGCA
rnacentral:rRNA from 1 species